CAGUAGCCGCGGUAACACCGAGGGUGCGAGCGUUAAUCGGAUUUACUGGGCGUAAAGCGUGCGUAGGCGGCUUCUUAAGUCGGAUGUGAAAUCCCUGAGCUUAACUUAGGAAUUGCAUUCGAUACUGGGAAGCUAGAGUAUGGGAGAGGAUGGUAGAAUUCCAGGUGUAGCGGUGAAAUGCGUAGAGAUCUGGAGGAAUACCGAUGGCGAAGGCAGCCAUCUGGCCUAAUACUGACGCUGAGGUACGAAAGCAUGGGGAGCAAACAGGAUUAGAUACCCCCGUAGUCCCUGUCUCUUAUAC
rnacentral:rRNA from 1 species